ACAGACCACAGGAGGGCAUGGUACCUGCUAGACAAGCCUGGGCUGUGUGGGUGCAGAGGCUGUGGGAUAACUCAAGGCCCUCAAGAAGCAGUGGAGAGAGUUUGCAACAACACUACUAUAGGCUGAAAUAACACCUACAAGAAUGUGAUAAGAGGAUGUACGUUGAUGAUUCAACAGCAGACAACAAGAAGAGAGGAGGAGCUGGUUAGUCUGAGAACACAGGGAGUCCUUGUACCUAACAUUGUGUUGCCACCACUUCAGCCUGUAGGCAAAUGUGUAGGAACACCACACUACAGCAAAUGGCUGGAUUUCAACUCAUUGGGACCUGCCCACAGCAUCUUCCCAGCAGACUGGAGCAGCAACACACCGCAGAGCUCUGCGACUGCAAGCACGGCCGGUGCCUCUGCGCUGGAUGCAAGUGCAAAUCUGGUAUAAGCAGGUGCAAAUUUCACUGAAACCAACAUUGUGCUCUCCGCACUCAGCAUAUCUGGCGACCUCAGUUAUGGUCUGUUGAAGUUCUUCUUCCAACAGUUUUUAU